CGUCAUGUGACUGCGUUCGUGGGCUACGCCUAGGGGGAAGCAAGAUGGCGGCACACCUGUCCUACGGACGAGUGAACCUGAACGUGCUGCGCGAGGCGGUGCGUCGCGAGCUGCGAGAGUUCCUGGACAAGUGCGCGGGAAGCAAGGCAAUAGUUUGGGAUGAGUACCUCACAGGACCAUUUGGCCUGAUUGCACAGUAUUCACUACUGAAGGAACAUGAAGUGGAGAAAAUGUUCACACUUAAAGGAAGUCGUUUGCCAGCAGCUGAUGUCAAGAAUAUUAUUUUUUUUGUCAGACCCAGGCUAGAGUUGAUGGAUAUAAUUGCUGAAAAUGUGCUCAGUGAAGACAAACGUGGCCCAGCAAGGGAUUUCCACAUUUUGUUUGUUCCACGACGAAGUUUACUGUGUGAACAGAGGUUGAAAGACCUGGGUGUUUUGGGAUCCUUUAUUCAUAGGGAGGAGUACAGCCUAGACCUCAUUCCAUUUGAUGGGGAUCUCUUAUCCAUGGAAUCAGAGGGUGCAUUCAAAGAAUGCUACCUGGAAAGUGACCAGACCAGCCUCUACCAUGCAGCCAAGGGGCUGAUGACCCUGCAGGCUCUGUACGGGACAAUCCCCCAGAUCUUUGGGAAAGGAGAGUGUGCCAGGCAAGUGGCCAAUAUGAUGAUCAGGAUGAAGAGAGAGUUUACAGGAAGCCAAAAUUCAAUAUUUCCUGUUUUUGAUAAUCUCUUGCUGCUUGAUCGAAACGUGGAUUUAUUAACACCUCUUGCCACGCAGCUUACGUAUGAGGGACUCAUUGAUGAAAUUUAUGGCAUUCAGAACAGUUAUGUGAAGUUACCUCCGGAGAAAUUUGUACCUAAGAAACAGGGCGAUGGCGGGAAGGACCUUCCCACGGAAGCCAAGAAGCUUCAGCUGAAUUCUGCCGAGGAGCUAUACGCUGAGAUCCGAGACAAAAACUUCAACGCGGUGGGCUCAGUACUUAGCAAGAAAGCAAAGGUGAUCUCCGCAGCGUUUGAGGAAAGGCACAACGCCAAGACGGUCGGGGAGAUCAAGCAGUUCGUGUCCCAGCUGCCCCACAUGCAGGCAGCGAGAGGCUCGCUCGCAAACCACACGUCGAUCGCCGAGUUAAUCAAAGACGUUACCACCUCUGAAGACUUCUUUGAUAAACUAACAGUGGAGCAGGAGUUUAUGUCUGGAAUAGACACUGAUAAGGUCAACAGUUACAUCGAAGAUUGUAUUGCCCAAAAGCACCCACUGAUCAAGGUGUUAAGACUGGUCUGCCUCCAGUCUGUGUGCAACAGUGGACUCAAACAAAAAGUUUUGGAUUAUUACAAAAGAGAAAUUCUCCAGACGUACGGCUAUGAGCACAUACUGACCUUAUACAACCUAGAGAAGGCUGGCCUGCUGAAACCACAGACGGGGGGCAGAAACAAUUACCCAACGAUCCGGAAAACGUUACGCCUCUGGAUGGAUGAUGUAAACGAACAGCCUGGGCCCGAGGGCAAGGAGGAGGAGCUGUCGCAGAAACCCGUUCCACAACCUGGAGAAAAGAGCUGUGUGGAGAGGCCGCCUGACAAGAUGAGGGAUGAGAGAGGCCUGUGGUCGAGGGACACAGCCAGCCUCCAGCAGUGUCGCCAGAGGAAGCCAGGGCAAUAACCCUGACGCCAUGCUGCUGCCCACUCCCCGGUAUUCCAUCCGGUGCCUCCCAUUGGCCGAACCCGAAUCGGGCACGGGAGCACGUUGGUAUAGAACCUGCAGGUUCGCCUCCUGGACACAGAGCACCGAGGAGGGCGGAGGGAUCGAAAAUAUUCAGCACGUGUGGUGAAAAUGUUGGCCAAUACAAAAGAAGAGUCUCCUGUAUCUACUGACAUUUUAACAUAAAUGAUGAGUAUUUUCAGAGCGCCUGGGUGACUCCCAUCGGUUAAGCGUCCGACUCGGCUCACGUCAUGAUCUCGCAGUUCGUGAGUUCAAGCCCCGCGUUGGGCUCUGUGCUGGCAGCUUAGAGCCUGGAGCCCACUUCAGAGUCUGUGUCUCUCUCUCUGCCCCUUCCCUGCUUGUUCUCUGUCUCUCUCCAAGAUGAGAUGAGAUGAGAUGAGAUGAGAUGGGAUGGAAUGGGAUGGGAUGGGAUGGGAUGAGAUGAGAUGAGAUGAGAUGAGAUGAGAUGAGAUGAGAUGAGAGGAGAUUAGUAUUUUCUACCACUGACCCUCAAAGCAGAGUGCACUUUGCUUUACAUUUACUAUUGAUGCCAGUCUUUCUAAAUUUCUUUUUCUUAUUUUCUGUUUUUGGACUUUCAUAGGCACUUUAUCAGGCUGCUUCCUGCAACAAAACCUAAUAAUUAAAAAGCCUCCUCUUCCAGUGGCAAAAUUGGAUUAUCUUUCCCCAGCGGGAGUAUAGAUACUCUUGAUUUCUACGUUGUACAGUGUAAACACUAUGCUAGUUCCACUCUCUCACUGUUCUCUUUUUUUUUUUUUUUUUAAUGUUUGUUUUUGAGAGAGAGAGAGAGAGAGAGAGAGCACAUGAGUGAGGGAGGAGCAGAGAGACAGGGAGACAGGAUCUGAAGCGGGCUCCGCGGGACUCGAAGUCACGAACUGUAAGAUCAUGACCUGAGCUGAGGUCGAUUGCUCAACCGACUGAGCUACCCGGGUGCCCCUCCCUCACUGUUCUGAUCUGCCCCUCCCCACCCCAACCACCACUUACCACUGUGUCUUGAAGAUCCUGUGAUCUACUUCAUUCUUUUUUGUAAGGUUUUUUUUUUUAAUGGUUGCAGAGCGGUCUUGCAGAUAAACCUUAAUUUACGACUUGCCAGAUUUCUCUCGCUAGAAAUUCAGGGUGUUCCCAGUCUGUUGCUAGCACCCACGGUGUUAGUUUACCGGUUUGCGCUUUGGUCUGUGCUGGUACAAGCCCCCUCUGUAGGGUAAAUACCUAAAAGUGGGACAGCCGAGUUCAAGGGGUGGGCUCGUUGUUACUCAGCUAGAGAGCGCCGGCUUACCCUCCAAGAAGUUUCUUGCCGGACCAGGUAACCUCGUUUCACGGCCAGUACCUAGAGAUGCUUUGAGUGGCGUUUUCAAGAUUUAAGUGGGAAGCGAACCUCUGGCAGCUAAGAAUCGGGCCCAGCCGGGGUGGACUGGAGCGGGACGUGGCCGGCCUUGAUUUGUGUUUCUGCCCUCACAGGCGAAUCGCGUAUUUUGGGGUUCCCCGUAAAGCCACUGUUCAGGGACUCUGUGUCUCUAUGUCUGUAGGCUUUUUUCCUUUAAUUAUUUAACAGAAUCCCACGGACAUAUCCUACGUGUACAGCGGCUAUGCCCCUCUCAGCGUGCGGCUGGCCCAGCUGCUGUCCCGGCCGGGCUGGCGAAGUAUCGAGGA